rnacentral:rRNA from 1 species
UAUAAGCUUCUAUACGGCGAAACUGCGAAUGGCUCAUUAAAACAGUUAUAGUUUAUUUGGUGGUCAGCAAUUACAUGGAUAACCGUGGUAAUUCUAGAGCUAAUACAUGCGCCCAAACCCGACUUCGUGGAAGGGUUGUGUUUAUUAGAUACAGAACCAACCCAGGCUCCGCCUGGCCUUGAGGUGAUUCAUAAUAACCGAACGAAUCGCAUGGCUAUGCCGGCGAUAGACCAUUCAAGUUUCUGACCUAUCAGCUAUCGUCGGUAGGGUAUUGGCCUACCGUGGCAAUGACGGGUAACGGAGAAUUAGGGUUCGAUUCCGGAGAGGGAGCCUGAGAAACGGCUACCACAUCUAAGGAAGGCAGCAGGCGCGCAAAUUACCCAAUCCUGACGCAGGGAGGUAGUGACAAGAAAUAACAAUACAGGGCAUACAUGUCUUGUAAUUGGAAUGAGUAAACUUUAAAUCACUUUACGAGUAUCAAUUGGAGGGCAAGUCUGGUGCCAGCAGCCGCGGUAAUUCCAGCUCCAAUAGCGUAUAUUAAAGUUGUUGCGGUUAAAAAGCUCGUAGUUGGAUUUCUGCUGAGGACGACCGGUCCGCCCUCCGGGUGAGCAUCUGGUUCGGCCUUGGCAUCUUCUUGGUGAACGUAUCUGCACUUGACUGUGUGGUGCGGUACCCAGGACUUUUACUUUGAGGAAAUUAGAGUGUUUCAAGCAGGCAUACGCCUUGAAUACAUUAGCAUGGAAUAAUAAGAUAGGACCUCGGUUCUAUUUUGUUGGUUUCUAGAGCUGAGGUAAUGAUU